rnacentral:rRNA from 1 species
AUUGAACGCUGGCGGCAUGCCUUACACAUGCAAGUCGAACGGUAACAGGUCUUCGGAUGCUGACGAGUGGCGAACGGGUGAGUAAUACAUCGGAACGUGCCCGAUCGUGGGGGAUAACGAAGCGAAAGCUUUGCUAAUACCGCAUAAGAUCUAUGGAUGAAAGCAGGGGACCGCAAGGCCUUGCGCGAACGGAGCGGCCGAUGGCAGAUUAGGUAGUUGGUGGGAUAAAAGCUUACCAAGCCGACGAUCUGUAGCUGGUCUGAGAGGACGACCAGCCACACUGGGACUGAGACACGGCCCAGACCCCUACGGGAGGCAGCAGUGGGGAAUAUUGGACAAUGGGCGCAAGCCUGAUCCAGCAAUGCCGCGUGGAUGAUGAAGGCCUUCGGGUUGUAAACCGCUUUUGGCAGGAACGAAACGGCGCAAGCCAAUACCUUGCGCUAAUGACGGUACCUGCAGAAUAAGCACCGGCUAACUACGUGCCAGCCGCCGCCGUAAAAC